UGAGUCUGGGAUGUAGGGAGGAGGAGCGUGGGUACACUCAAGUUUCAGCAAUGCCACGUCAGCCCCUCUCCACUUAACCGUGCUGUACCCAUAGGUGAUGCUGUCGGCCUCCAAGCACGCCUGAAGUGUGUGGCCUGGGCACUCUGAGGAGGAUGACCAAGAGGUGACAGCUGGAACUUAGCAGGCGGGCAGACGGCCUUCUUCUGCAGCCAGCAGGGAUUGACAUCCCCAGAUAUGUGCAAGAUAAGUGGAGUGUUACGACCUACAGAGGGGAUGGAAGCGGGGUGCUGGCUUGGGCCUUUCUAGAAGGGUUUUUUUUGUCUGUUUUGGGGAUGGGGAUGUCCAAGAAGCGUUUCCUUAGGCCACCUAAAGGGAAAGUGUCUGUUUUGGUCUCAGUGCUGAGGUUCACAGGGCAGAGCAGUUCCGGUGUGUGUCCUGUCACUUGUCUCUGGUGCACUCUGUGUUGUUUGGGUCUCUCGGUCCUUUCUUCUCCUCGAGAGCUCUCUCUCCCUGUCACGUCCUGUCCUGUGUCACGGGUGUCUGCACAUAUUUGUCCCGGCCAUGCUCUGCCCUGCUGCAUAGCCUGUAAUAGCACAAGUCCUGGGGACUUGAAAUUGGUAAUGCAGUGUGUAGUUGGGAUCUGGAUUGUGUAAGGAGAUGGCCAUAACAUGUUCAGUGGUGUUAAGUUGUCCUGCAGCUGUUUGAUACUAGUUCUAACUUCCUUUCAGAUGCUGACAGUUCAAAUCUGUGGCGGAGAGCGCCAGUCCUGGGUGAGGAUCUUCCCAUGAGCAGGUCGGUCAUUGUUUGCAUUUACAGGGGAAUUCUAAAUGGUGACUAUGUUACAGCGGUGUUUUUGUCUUUAUUUUUAGGAGAUCCUGGCAGAUAGCAGCAGUCAAGGCCCAUUGUGCUAGGGAAUCCCUUCGGAGUACGCAUAGCACCUGUCACCAGCUGGCCAAUGGACUGGGUUUCCUGUGCUUUAUGAGACCUCUGGAAGUAUAGCGGGACCCUGUGAUGAAGCCUUCACAUUUUGUAUGUCAGGGUCCCACCCUGGUAGCCCAGAGGAGUGGACAAGGAAUUGCGGUGAUGCUGUCGGCCUCCAAGCACGCCUGAAGUGUGUGGCCUGGGCACUCUGAGGAGGAUGACCAAGAGGUGACAGCUGGAACUUAGCAGGCGGGCAGACGGCCUUCUUCUGCAGCCAGCAGGGAUUGACAUCCCCAGAUAUGUGCAAGAUAAGUGGAGUGUUACGACCUACAGAGGGGAUGGAAGCGGGGUGCUGGCUUGGGCCUUUCUAGAAGGGUUUUUUUUGUCUGUUUUGGGGAUGGGGAUGUCCAAGAAGCGUUUCCUUAGGCCACCUAAAGGGAAAGUGUCUGUUUUGGUCUCAGUGCUGAGGUUCACAGGGCAGAGCAGUUCCAGUGUGUGUCCUGUCACUUGUCUCUGGUGCACUCUGUGUUGUUUGGGUCUCUCGGUCCUUUCUUCUCCUCGAGAGCUCUCUCUCCCUGUCACGUCCUGUCCUGUGUCACGGGUGUCUGCACAUAUUUGUCCCGGCCAUGCUCUGCCCUGCUGCAUAGCCUGUAAUAGCACAAGUCCUGGGGACUUGAAAUUGGUAAUGCAGUGUGUAGUUGGGAUCUGGAUUGUGUAAGGAGAUGGCCAUAACAUGUUCAGUGGUGUUAAGUUGUCCUGCAGCUGUUUGAUACUAGUUCUAACUUCCUUUCAGAUGCUGACAGUUCAAAUCUGUGGCGGAGAGCGCCAGUCCUGGGUGAGGAUCUUCCCAUGAGCAGGUCGGUCAUUGUUUGCAUUUACAGGGGAAUUCUAAAUGGUGACUAUGUUACAGCGGUGUUUUUGUCUUUAUUUUUAGGAGAUCCUGGCAGAUAGCAGCAGUCAAGGCCCAUUGUGCUAGGGAAUCCCUUCGGAGUACGCAUAGCACCUGUCACCAGCUGGCCAAUGGACUGGGUUUCCUGUGCUUUAUGAGACCUCUGGAAGUAUAGCGGGACCCUGUGAUGAAGCCUUCACAUUUUGUAUGUCAGGGUCCCACCCUGGUAGCCCAGAGGAGUGGACAAGGAAUUGCGGUGAUGCUGUCGGCCUCCAAGCACGCCUGAAGUGUGUGGCCUGGGCACUCUGAGGAGGAUGACCAAGAGGUGACAGCUGGAACUUAGCAGGCGGGCAGACGGCCUUCUUCUGCAGCCAGCAGGGAUUGACAUCCCCAGAUAUGUGCAAGAUAAGUGGAGUGUUACGACCUACAGAGGGGAUGGAAGCGGGGUGCUGGCUUGGGCCUUUCUAGAAGGGUUUUUUUUGUCUGUUUUGGGGAUGGGGAUGUCCAAGAAGCGUUUCCUUAGGCCACCUAAAGGGAAAGUGUCUGUUUUGGUCUCAGUGCUGAGGUUCACAGGGCAGAGCAGUUCCGGUGUGUGUCCUGUCACUUGUCUCUGGUGCACUCUGUGUUGUUUGGGUCUCUCGGUCCUUUCUUCUCCUCGAGAGCUCUCUCUCCCUGUCACGUCCUGUCCUGUGUCACGGGUGUCUGCACAUAUUUGUCCCGGCCAUGCUCUGCCCUGCUGCAUAGCCUGUAAUAGCACAAGUCCUGGGGACUUGAAAUUGGUAAUGCAGUGUGUAGUUGGGAUCUGGAUUGUGUAAGGAGAUGGCCAUAACAUGUUCAGUGGUGUUAAGUUGUCCUGCAGCUGUUUGAUACUAGUUCUAACUUCCUUUCAGAUGCUGACAGUUCAAAUCUGUGGCGGAGAGCGCCAGUCCUGGGAGAUCCUGGCAGAUAGCAGCAGUCAAGGCCCAUUGUGCUAGGGAAUCCCUUCGGAGUACGCAUAGCACCUGUCACCAGCUGGCCAAUGGACUGGGUUUCCUGUGCUUUAUGAGACCUCUGGAAGUAUAGCGGGACCCUGUGAUGAAGCCUUCACAUUUUGUAUGUCAGGGUCCCACCCUGGUAGCCCAGAGGAGUGGACAAGGAAUUGCGGUGAUGCUGUCGGCCUCCAAGCACGCCUGAAGUGUGUGGCCUGGGCACUCUGAGGAGGAUGACCAAGAGGUGACAGCUGGAACUUAGCAGGCGGGCAGACGGCCUUCUUCUGCAGCCAGCAGGGAUUGACAUCCCCAGAUAUGUGCAAGAUAAGUGGAGUGUUACGACCUACAGAGGGGAUGGAAGCGGGGUGCUGGCUUGGGCCUUUCUAGAAGGGUUUUUUUUUGUCUGUUUUGGGGAUGGGGAUGUCCAAGAAGCGUUUCCUUAGGCCACCUAAAGGGAAAGUGUCUGUUUUGGUCUCAGUGCUGAGGUUCACAGGGCAGAGCAGUUCCGGUGUGUGUCCUGUCACUUGUCUCUGGUGCACUCUGUGUUGUUUGGGUCUCUCGGUCCUUUCUUCUCCUCGAGAGCUCUCUCUCCCUGUCACGUCCCCUCGUUUGUCACGUCCUGUCCUGUGUCACGGGUGUCUGCACAUAUUUGUCCCGGCCAUGCUCUGCCCUGCUGCAUAGCCUGUAAUAGCACAAGUCCUGGGGACUUGAAAUUGGUAAUGCAGUGUGUAGUUGGGAUCUGGAUUGUGUAAGGAGAUGGCCAUAACAUGUUCAGUGGUGUUAAGUUGUCCUGCAGCUGUUUGAUACUAGUUCUAACUUCCUUUCAGAUGCUGACAGUUCAAAUCUGUGGCGGAGAGCGCCAGUCCUGGCGGUGUUUUUGUCUUUAUUUUUAGGAGAUCCUGGCAGAUAGCAGCAGUCAAGGCCCAUUGUGCUAGGGAAUCCCUUCGGAGUACGCAUAGCACCUGUCACCAGCUGGCCAAUGGACUGGGUUUCCUGUGCUUUAUGAGACCUCUGGAAGUAUAGCGGGACCCUGUGAUGAAGCCUUCACAUUUUGUUUGUCAGGGUCCCACCCUGGUAGCCCAGAGGAGUGGACAAGGAAUUGCGGUGAUGCUGUCGGCCUCCAAGCACGCCUGAAGUGUGUGGCCUGGGCACUCUGAGGAGGAUGACCAAGAGGUGACAGCUGGAACUUAGCAGGCGGGCAGACGGCCUUCUUCUGCAGCCAGCAGGGAUUGACAUCCCCAGAUAUGUGCAAGAUAAGUGGAGUGUUACGACCUACAGAGGGGAUGGAAGCGGGGUGCUGGCUUGGGCCUUUCUAGAAGGGUUUUUUUUGUCUGUUUUGGGGAUGGGGAUGUCCAAGAAGCGUUUCCUUAGGCCACCUAAAGGGAAA